rnacentral:rRNA from 1 species
GACGAACGCUGGCGGCGUGCUUAACACAUGCAAGUCGAACGGAAAGACCCUGCUUUUGUGGGGUGCUCGAUUGGCGAACGGGUGAGUAACACGUGAGUAACCUGCCCUUGACUUUGGGAUAACUUCAGGAAACUGGGGCUAAUACCGGAUAGGAGCUCCUGCUGCAUGGUGGGGGUUGGAAAGUUUCGGCGGUUGGGUAUGGACUCGCGGCUUAUCAGCUUGUUGGUGGGGUAGUGGCUUACCAAGGCUUUGACGGGUAGCCGGCCUGAGAGGGUGACCGGCCACAUUGGGACUGAGAGACGGACCAGAAUCCUACGGGAGGCAGCAGUGGAGAAUAUUGCACAAUGGGCGGAAGCCUGAUGCAGAAACGCCGCGUGCGGGAUGCCGGCCUUCGGGUUGUAAACAGCUUUCGACUGUGACGAAGCGUGAGUGACGGUAAUGGGUAAAGAAGCACCGGCUAACUACGUG